UGGUGGCGAUAGCGAAGAGGUCACACCCGUUCCCAUAUCGAACACGGAAGUUAAGCUCUUCAGCGCCGAUGGUAGUCGGGGGUUUCCCCCUGUGAGAGUAGGACGCCGCCAAGCA
rnacentral:rRNA from 1 species